UACAGAGGUCUCAAGCGUUGUUCGGAUUCAUUGGGCGUAAAGGGUGCGUAGGUGGCGCCGUAAGUCGGGUGUGAAAUUUCGGAGCUUAACUCCGAAACUGCAUUCGAUACUGCGGUGCUUGAGGACUGGAGAGGAGACUGGAAUUCAUGGUGUAGCAGUGAAAUGCGUAGAGAUCAUGAGGAAGACCAGUGGCGAAGGCGGGUCUCUGGGCCUGUACUGACGCUGAGGAGCGAAAGCGUGGGGAGCGAACAGG
rnacentral:rRNA from 1 species